rnacentral:rRNA from 1 species
UACGAAGGGGGCUAGCGUUGUUCGGAUUUACUGGGCGUAAAGCGCACGUAGGCGGAUCGCUAAGUCGGGGGUGAAAUCCUGGAGCUCAACUCCAGAACUGCCUUCGAUACUGGCGAUCUCGAGUCCGGAAGAGGUGAGUGGAACUCCUAGUGUAGAGGUGGAAUUCGUAGAUAUUAGGAAGAACACCAGUGGCGAAGGCGGCUCACUGGUCCGGUACUGACGCUGAGGUGCGAAAGCGUGGGGAGCAAACAGG